AACGAACGCUGGCGGCAUGCCUAACACAUGCAAGUCGAACGAGACCUUCGGGUCUAGUGGCGCACGGGUGCGUAACGCGUGGGAACCUGCCCUUAGGUUCGGAAUAACUCCCCGAAAGAGGUGCUAAUACCGGAUAAUGUCUUCGGACCAAAGAGUUAUCGCCUUUGGAUGGGCCCGCGUUGGAUUAGCUAGUUGGUAGGGUAAAAGCCUACCAAGGCGACGAUCCAUAGCUGGUCUGAGAGGAUGAUCAGCCACACUGGGACUGAGACACGGCCCAGACUCCUACGGGAGGCAGCAGUGGGGAAUAUUGGACAAUGGGCGAAAUCCUGAUCCAGCAAUGCCGCGUGAGUGAUGAAGGCCUUAGGGUUGUAAAGCCCUUUUACCCGGGAUGAUAAUGACAGUACCGGGAGAAUAAGCUCCGGCUAACUCCGUG
rnacentral:rRNA from 1 species